rnacentral:misc_RNA from 1 species
GAGAAGCAAUUAAGUUUAUUUGACCAUAUCUGCCCUUAUGAACUUUCAUAAAGCACUUUAAAAGGUACGCCUCACAUUCACUCCAUGGUAAUUUACGAAGUUGCCUCAGCACAUGCUCAAUGGAAGACUUGUCAAGAUCCGAGAAAAGCAAUUUUCUAAUAUACUGAUAUAGUGGGGGCCGGACUUUAGACACUCGUGCAGAUCUUUCAGGGGGUUUACACAAAUAGUAAGCAUUUUCUACAAGUGUGCUGUGGCGGGGAUCCAAAUUUUUAACAUUUUUCAAGCGCAUCAAUAUCUCUAACAUAUUAGCCA